AUGAAAGAAGUUCUUGUCUUGCAUCUUUCCCUGCUUCACGUUUUAAUCCAGAGGAUUCAAGCUGACAUCUUGAAGUGUCUCCCCAGAAGCAUCUGGGGGAUCGCUUUGUACGUGGAGACACCUCCCUCAAAGCUAACAGUUGAAAUACAUUACUACAAGUGGCACAUAGCAUAUUAUAUCCAAUUAGCAACCAUUCACGCCCAAAAAAAAAAAAAAAAAAAAACUCUAAAUUUUGUUGCUCUCUGAUGGCAAAUACAUAUUAUUAUAUUGUUGCAUAUAACAAGCGAAGCAAUCAGCAAGCGUGUUCAUGCAUAAGUAUCUACAUUUGUCAGCACAUCCCAGAACGAAAAUCCAAUCUGCAGAUCACCCUAGUAAAUGAACAGAGUUCACGUUAUAGCACUCUCUCAUCUGAUCAUUUGUUCAGAUUUUUCUUACUCUUUAGCAAACAAAGGGAAAGGGCAAUGCAACUCAGCAACAUAUUUCAAAUUUUGAAAUGGCAACAAAACCAAUACUUAUCAGUUUAUGGAAAGGCUAGAAAUUUAUAAGAUUGUGCUAUCCAAGAACACUAAUCAACAGAUAUUACUAAAAAUUCCCGAUAAGACCACGUCUACUUAAUUGGAAGCACAGUCAGACUUCGCAUGCCUGAUUCAUUAUUACUUAUUGAUUUAAAAAAUAUAUAUAUGUUAAAAGGUGAUGCCUCAGAAUCCAGAAAAAACUCCGAGAAACCCUAAGUUAGAAAACAUAACAUUGAUGCUAUUCCAGUAAAAAUGUCGACAAUCAGUAAACUAAAAUUUGACGCUUGCAAACACCAAAUCCAUCCACAUCUACAGCUAUUAAAACCGAAUGAAUUUGUAGUUUCACACUCACAUGAUCAAACAAAGCUAGCAUCACCAUGUCCUUCAAAAUCAAAUGCAGUAACAUCCUACACAACCUAGGAUCAGUAAAACAUAUUUCAAAUACACCAAUAUUACAUUGGCAUUAAAAUAUUAUUUUUAUGCCACAUAUGGAGGUUAUUUAUCACUUCUGUGUUUAAGCAACAAAUCCUAUCCCUCGUUUCCUCAUAUGUUGAACUUUACUUCAAUUGCGCUUGAGCUAAACAAAAGAUCCAAUAUUCAGCUAAAAAAUAGAUAAAAUCACUCAAAAGAAAUCAAAUUCCAGACCUUUGCAAUCAAGAAGGAGCAAGAUUUUGGUGAAAUCAGACUUAAAAAUUUAACCUUUGUUUAGAAUUCGUGUGGCGAGUGGGCCCCACAUGAGGAAGGAUCGGCUGGAAAUUGGACGUCGACUGAUGAGCAGCGGUGAAAUUCUCCGGCCAAAUCGAUGUUGACCUCAUAAUUAAUUCCAAUUCACUAUUUAAAUUUAAAUUCUCAAAAAGAAAGUCCUUUAGUCAGGAAAUAUGUUUCCGGCACUUCUGAAUUUCUAAAAGCUGGGAACUUUGGGUUUUACAUCGAUUUGGCUGAAUUGUUCAUGAAUUUCCCAUGGAUUCUUGCCAAUUUAUAAAGACAGUGUUGAUCUGAGCGAAAUGGCCCGGAGAAAGGCGGAGAAGGGGGGCUGACAAACGAGGAGAUUAUGGCAUUUUCCGGCGAUGGGCGGUGAUAUUUUUUGAUAUUACGAUGGCGUUUAAUUUGACAGAAAUGUCGUCAUAUUUGACGGGAUGAAGCCCAGUCGUUUAAAAGGAGCGUGCAAUCCACGCCUUUGGUUACGUGGAUGAAUGUGUUCCCUGGAAUAAUCUAGCAUAUGGUAG
rnacentral:lncRNA from 1 species